UGUCCAGCAAGUCUGUGCUUGAGAACCCCUAAAUGCAGGCCGAACUGGUUCGCUCCGGUGCACCCGGAAUGCAGGUCAAUGCGCUGUCAGCUCCAGCACAGCUCAGACGUCUGCUCCUUCUGCUCUGCGUCCCGCCUUGGCUCCUGUCCUGGCCCCAGGCGCCCCCGUCGAGUGCCUCCCAGCGGCUGCGCCUUUCUCCCUCUCGGAGGUCCAGUAGAAGCCAUGGCCACCAGGGUCUUCCGAGUUUCACAUCCCACUUUCUCCUCUAGAGGUGAACUGAAUCUCUCCAGAGCCAGGGCAAGAGUUGCCAAGGAACAAGCUGUCACAGAAAGGAGCAAGCCGCCUGAAGUCAGUCUGGGCGGGAAGGCGGCACCAAGGAAUCAGCAGACCCUGCAGACCGGGUUUCUUUUCUCAUCAGCAACCUGAUUGGUAAGUAUUUGGCAUCAUUUCCCCGGAUACUACCUUAAAACAUUAAGGGGAUAAACAUUAUUUGAAAGUCUAUACAAGGACUUUCAGGAG
rnacentral:lncRNA from 1 species